rnacentral:tRNA from 1 species
GCGCCUGUAGCUCAACUGGAUAGAGUAACGGCCUACGAAGCCGCGGGUUGCUGGUCCGACUCCAGCCAGGCGCA